rnacentral:tRNA from 1 species
GCGCUCGUAGCUCAGCUGGAUAGAGCGGCGGUUUCCUAAACCGCAGGUCGGAGGUUCGAGUCCCCCCGGGCGCG